rnacentral:misc_RNA from 1 species
UCAAACUUGGUCAUUUAGAGGAAGUAAAAGUCGUAACAAGGUUUCCGUAGGUGAACCUGCGGAAGGAUCAUUACUGAAACAAAUUUGGAUUGGGUUUUUUCGCUAGCGCACUUUCGGAGACUGUGCGCCGUCGAACACAACCUGUCCAUUUUAUUUUUCCUUUGUCACCUGUGCAACUCGUGUAGAUCUUCGAAACACACUGUCAGUCUCAAUUUGAAAAAUGAGAGAUUGGUUUGAGGGAACUUGCUUCGUGGCUUUUCUCAGGCGUUUCUGAUUUACGUUUUCCUUGUAUUUCACACACGUCUCUGUAAUAAAGAAUGUCAUCGUUUGGAUUUGUACGAGCGUGCAAUCCUAUGAAAAAGCUUCGUAAAACAACUUUCAACAACGGAUCUCUUGGCUCUCGCAUCGAUGAAGAACGCAGC